AAAUUUGUUUUGAUAAUGAAAUUUUGAAAAUAUAUAAAGAAAGCUUAGAGAUGGGUAGUUGGCGGUGUUUGUAAUUUUGCAAUCAGAUUAAAAGAAUUGAAUAGUAUAUAUACUUUAGCCUUUCUUAUUCUCCACUUCAUGUCCAUUCUUUAUACUCUUCGUUUUUCUACAUUUCUUCUUCUUAAACUUUUAAAUUUUCAACACUAUGGUAUGGCGGCGCCGGAGGAGGAGCUUUAUGAGGGCGAGGAGUUGGAACACGCCUUCGGACUCCAUAACCGAGGCGCCAGGUGGAGUGCCGUCGCCGGAGAAGAGGCUAUAAAGAGGGAAACGCGUCGUCGGAACAGUACAUGUGAGAGUUACUUUACGCCGGCCACGUAAGACAUGUAAUAAAAAUAUAGAAAAAGACAACUUCUGUGGGCUUUAGAAAUUAGGAUUUUUUGGGCUAAAUAGUACAAACCGGGUCGAAAACCCGACCCGCUCAAAAUAGAAAUAAGGAAUUUUUGUGUCUUGUGUAAGGUAUACAGGAAUAAAAGUAUUUGAAUUUGUAAUAUUAAUCUUAUGACCAAUAUUCUAUCGAUAUAAGCUAGAUAUUUUAUAUUGCUUAUCUUGGGAUGUCAAUUCAGAGACGAAUAAGUAGCACAUGGGUUGUCAUAUAUCAAUGUAGUAGUAGGGAAUCAUGUCUGCUACGUGAUGGUACUAAUUUAAAAUAAUAAUAUUUUAAUCAUAUUUAUUUAUUUUUUGAUUUGAAAUCUUAGUAUAUAUUAUUAUAUUAUUAAGUGAAUAAAUGAAUGUACUUUAUUAGGAAAAUUAAGUAUUAUAUGAAAAAUUCUCUCAUAGAUCUCUCUUCACUAG
rnacentral:lncRNA from 1 species